rnacentral:rRNA from 1 species
UACGGGGGGGGCAAGCGUUGUUCGGAAUUACUGGGCGUAAAGAGCGCGCAGGCGGUCGUCCAAGUCGCGUGUGAAAGCCCCCGGCUCAACUGGGGAGGGUCACGCGAUACUGGUCGACUCGAAGGCAGGAGAGGGUAGUGGAAUUCCCGGUGUAAUGGUGAAAUGCGUAGAUAUCGGGAGGAACACCAGUGGCGAAGGCGACUACCUGGCCUGUUCUUGACGCUGAGGCGCGAAAGCUAGGGGAGCAAACGGGG